UACGUAGGUGGCAAGCGUUGUCCGGAUUUAUUGGGUUUAAAGGGUGCGUAGGCGGUUCUAUAAGUCAGUGGUGAAAUACGGCAGCUCAACUGUCGAGGUGCCAUUGAUACUGUAGGACUAGAGUACUGUUGAGGUAGGCGGAAUGGACGGUGUAGCGGUGAAAUGCUUAGAUAUCGUCCAGAACACCGAUAGCGAAGGCAGCUUACUAAAGAGUAACUGACGCUGAGGCACGAAAGUGUGGGGAUCAAAC
rnacentral:rRNA from 1 species